rnacentral:rRNA from 1 species
AUGCUUUUUGCAUGGCUGCUGCAUGCAUUUUUGAUGGGCGUCUUUCCUUCCUUAAUCUCUGGGGCAUGUAUCCUUAGAUCCCCAGCCUCUUGUACAUAUCUGUUAGUGAGAAAUCGAACAUACAUUGUACAGAUCCGCUUUGCCGCCCUUGCAACUCCAGUCAGUGCUUUUUUUGCAUUUUUUUUCUCCCUUCUUUUUGAGAGAUGGACAUCUAGUCAGUUAUCACAAGAAAGUGCUCUGCUAAUGCCAACUUCAUGCACCACCCUUGUCUUUAAAAGGCAAGGUAAUGAACACAGUCUAGUCCAACAGCACUACUAG